CAGCAGCAGGUACAUCCGGGAAACCCAUCAGACUGGUGGUGGGCCACCACCAGCCCCACCAAAACCAGCUGAUGAGGUAACGCUGAUUGUACAGCUGAUCCUUAAUAAUAGGCUGCCAGUACCUGACGACAUCUUUGAUAGUGAAUUUGUAGAAGCAUGCGUACUGGCCCGACUCAAUUCCACAGCACUGGAAUGUGCUGACACACCUGAAGCUGCAGGACAGCAGCCAGCACAAGAUCUGGUCUUGGACAACCCUGGCAGUCCGCUUAUCAUCAGGAGUGAGGACUGUGAACUUAUAGAUGCGGAAGAUGAUGUGGACCUCCCAGGUGCUAGAACCUCCGCUCAUCCUGUACUAAAAAAAGGCACCUGCUCUGCUCGCAGCAGUAGUGCCACAGCUGCCACCCAAAACCAGUCCUUCACAGGACGAAAGAGGAAGGCAGCAGAAAGCAAAUCUGCUGCUUAUGGCAGGUGUGCCAAGCAGCAGAAACACUUUCGUGAUGAACUGGCCUCAACAUUUGAGGCCCUUGCUGCAAAAGUGGCAACAACGCUGGACAGCAUAGCUUCUGCUGCCGAUAAAAUUGGGUUGGCAGCAGACAGAAUGGCAUCUGCUG